UACAGGAACGCAACUGAUCGACGACCCCGACCUAUAAUACUCUACUAUACAUCCGUCCAUCCAUCCAUUCAUCUUGUAGCAUCCUCUAGGUGACUCGAGUUAUCUAUCUACAUAACUCAGGAGAAAAGUCGGCACCGAGUUCUCGAAUGGAUAUCCAACCGCCCACUCCGUGGAGAAGCAAGGACAUAAAGUAUGUACAUACAUACAGGGAUGCUACCUAAUGUAUGUUAGAUCUGAGAUCUUGCAUGGCAUGGCAUGAGGCUAUCCGCAUAGGCAUACGUACUCUGAUUCAAUAGGUUGGCAUGCCCUAAUGUAGCCUCGUUUCGAUCUAAUCACGAUCUUGCUUGCAUGUUGUACACUUAGUCGUUGAGAUACGGGAUUGUGGCGGUGCAGUUAGUUGCAUUGAUGUGGCACUGCGUAUGUAGGAAGGGCUACAUGUUUUUUGUUUUGUUUUUGUUUUUUUUUUUUUUUUUUUCGGGCCAUCCGAUCUGUAGAAUGCCAUCCAGGGACGGAGUUUGCACAUGCAUCAUAUUAGUGGUAUGGAAGGGAGAAGGUAUCGGCCUCUCUGUAUGGUGCUGCUAGAAGCUACAGGUUCACCGGUUACAGUAUUCUCUCAAGAUCUAUUGUAUAUUUAUGCUUCAAUCUCAAAGGAUCAUAUACAUAGUCACUGUUUGACCACGGCUCAAAGAAGAAUCAAGCCCCAAACGUCGUACUACGUAGGACACAGGUGCCACGGCACGUGAAAAAAAAAAAAUAAAAAUAAGCAUGACGUAGGUCAACCUCCUUGAUCCUUGGCAUAUUUGCCUCAAACCUAGACAAUCAUCUGAAGGGUCUUGAAUAUUUCAAUAGUCGAAACUCGACGCACCGCGUACUUUGUACCGAAUGAGUUCUCAGGGGUUAAACACUACUCCGUGGGCUUCCAGGGUUGGGGCUGUCUGUACCACAACUCGCCAUACAAUGUUCGAUCUCGAUCUAAAAACGUGGAACGCCUGGUAUCGUGGAUCAUCGAUUCUUAUUCCAUGCCGGAUGCGGAAAUAUUUCGUCGGUAUUGGACGGACGUGCGUAUCGUCUCGAUGUGUUGCCCAAUCAGAGAAUUGAGUUCCAUGGAAAUUCUACGAGGCUGGCUCCAUAUUGUGGGUGUCAGUCACGCUGUCAACCAGGGUCAAUCAAUAAUUUGUGAUCUGCAUCGAAAGCGAUUCAAACUGAGCUAGUCAAGAAAGAACGAGGACUCAAUCGAGAUGAAUUUACAUUUGCACGCCACUAAUUUCAACGAACUAGUAUCGAUGACAGCUAGCCUGUCAUUCCGAUUGUAUUGUCAGCCCCGCAUACAGCGAUACACUCAAAAAAGACCCCCAACCUAAACCGAGGAUUCGCCGAACCGUAGUGUGUGCUUCGUUCCUGCGCUCCUCUGCACGUCAGUGUCAUUGCAGUGUCCACUGUGUCGGUGUCCAAUCCGACAUUGUCAUCUAAGCGAGGUGCAUACCAUUUUCACGCCUACUAGUUAGUAGGGGCAAUACACUCCGGCUCCUGAAGAGGAGAAAAGAGGGGCGCUAUCUUAGCGCUGUUCUGCCCCUGGCCCCACGACUGGCGCCAUAUCCUCGGGACUCCCUCCGUAAAUGGAUGUGCUCCUGUUGUAUUCCAUCGUGACUGGCUUUUCGAUGAGGGUCAAAGAAAAGCCUCUUUCCCUGACUGGCAUUUUUGUGACGUAGUCAAGGUCUCGACGAGUGGAUAGAUGGACGAUUAACUCAGUCGGCUGACAUUCUGACAAUCCAUCAAGACCGCAUUAGUGGCCGGGGCCAGCACAACACACACACCACACUUUCUACUACGAGUAGUUAGCCGGCAUGGAUUGGCACAUUACCCAAUUCUUGGGCUGCAUGUGGCUGGCCCUUUUUCACGUUCCGGCGCGACAACCUAUGAAUCCCACGUAUCGUAUUGUUGGGGGACGAUGAAACAUCGCUACGGAAGGAAUUCUAACAAUCGUCGAAACUCAAACCCCAGAAAGGUAAAACGUCCUCGAUCCCUGGAAUUUUCGCGAUCAUGAAACCGAAACAGUUGUAUGAGACCCCGAGGCGGCAAAGUUGGUCGUCAACUUGUCACGUCAAAACUCGAUGUUCCUUGGAAUGUGGCACUGUGGCUGUACCCAUUUGCGUUGAGGCUGGCUUGGUAUGAUAAGUAAAAUAAGCGAUCGCUCUGACCCCGUCGACCCCAUCCGGAUUUUAUGCAUCCCUAUUCGACAUUCAUGGUGUGCUAUGUAGGUCAAUAAAAAUGGGUGGAGAUUGGAUCGUCAGCACUCUGACAGAACAAUACGUACGUAGCAUGUAUACGCUACGAACCUCGCCUAGCUAGGACUGACUGGAACUCUGUUGAAACUCAACUCAGCAUUGCCUUGCCAUUGUCAGACAGACCAGACCAGACCAAUCGAGGAAGCAACAGACACUUUGACCUGUCAAGUAGCAUCGGACAGUCCGCCAGCUGCAUGUCGACAAGCGAUGAACAUGGUGAUGCAUGGAUAUCUCAACAGACGACAGUCUGCGUACGAGAAGUCAGAAUUAGUUAAGUUAGUUACGUUAAUUGACUAAUUUAACUAGGUUAGUUAAGUUAACAACUUAUGUUGGUGGCUUAUGUAAGAGCGUCAUCAAAAGGAAGGGGCUCGAGAGACGACAGAAAGUGCAUAAGGAAGGAGCGAUCGAAGUGGGCGGCGCCUGCCAGGCUGGCUCCUUCCUUCCUUCCAAUGCCCAUAUAUAUUCCUCUCUUUUGGGAAGGUGGCUCCUUCCUUGGGUGACAAGUGUAGCGGUUCUGAUUGGUUGAUUGUUUUUCAAUUUUCUUUUUCAGAUCGAUCGGCCAAGAUGGGAUUCAGCAGCAUCUUAUGAUCUUACUACGUGCGUACAUAUUAUAUUAUAUUGUACAGGAGGCACGAACAGGUGUUCGCCACGGCUACAAGCCGCUUUCAGGACUGUAUUAUAAUACGAUUAUUGUCAAGCAGCAAGUACAUGGCAUAUAUUUCGCAUUUUAAUCUCUCAGGUUAUGCUUGGUAGCAGAAAAUAGUAAUAAGAAGAAGAAGAAGAAGAAGAAGAAGAAUAAUGAUAAUGAUAAUACUCGUAGCAUGUAGGUAUCUGUGAUCGGCAAUGAAUCGGGAUCUGUCCUAAUGGCCUGACAAAUAAUCAAUUAACCUUAAUAGAGAAUUGUUCCUCCCCUGAGUUGUUUGACAGGCUGGCAGCACAUGCCCCAACUAAUCGUGGUUAAUAGUUCAUACUGCUAAAUACCAAACCGGUUAGUUAACCAGCUCAACCAGAAACUUACUUGUAGUGCUACUAGUUACAUACUACCUACGAAGUAGUAUAGUAUGUAGACUCAAAUUAAUAUGUCCGAUUAUUGCCAGCCUAAAAUACCAUGCUAAUUUAUGUAUGGUGUACGUAUUACCGUAUCAGCAAUACAUACUACGUAUGUACGGGCGAGAAUGCACAACUAUCAGGUGCGUGGAUCUGCAUUUGACAACUACGGCGAUCAGCUCUUCGGCUCUGGACCUCGGCUCUACAUAGUACGUACGUACGCCAUGGAAUUCGCUCUUUUUGACUAACUAGUAAGCACGUAACUAGCUAAUACGAGUCAGUAACUUAGUAUUCUUAUCUUGACGGAUAUUCGGAUGGGAAUAUAUCCCGAUGACCACCAAUCCAAGUCAUAUUGUGGUUUCAUUCAAUGUCUCCCUAGCCAUGGCCUGGUAGAGACUACCUAGGUACCAAUAUGUAUCUUAGUAUCCAUGUAUUCAAAGCCAGCUGGCAGCUGGCACAGUGCAUGUUGCAUAAAGAACGUACAUACAUGUAAGUAUUCCACCGGCACGGCAUCAGCCACCUCCAAUCAUCAGCCGCCGUUAUGCUUCCCAUACUCAACAAUUUCUCUCUUUUUCGUACUUCCUGGCUCCUGUGUGGUCAGUUCCUUCUGCGCAUCUCUCAAACAAAGUUAUGGAUCAAAUCCACUUGGCCCAGUUAGGUGCUGACACCUCUUUUUAAGGUACCAACGAGGAUCCCAAUACUAAUGUACUAAAAAGGAAGAGCCCUAAUUUAUGGCUCUAAAGACAAGAUCGGAGAUCCCUUUUCUCAACAAUUUUGGAGAUUAUGGAUACGUGUGAUGGAUGAUGCUGACUGCCUGCCUGACUCAUGAGGUGAUUGAGGUCAAUCGCUUGGCGUAGUGGGAUUUGCGUCCGAUUUUAUGGUUCGCACAGGAUUGUAUGUCUGUGUGUUGUUGGAGUAACUAACUACCAUAGUCUUCUUGUAUUCUGUAACUUAAUCUGACGGAGUGGCAAUAUGUAUUAGAUAAUGUAGAUGUGUGGAAAACCUUAACCGUUAACUAGUUACCCCGAAGAGUGUAUGCAUCAGAGAGGUCUUCUCCCCGACAGCAAUGAUUUAAUGUGGAAUGGAAAAACA
rnacentral:lncRNA from 1 species